UAACACUACAGUUUCAUACGGUUUGUUUCCAUAUGAACCGACUGUUUUUUUUUAUCCGAGGUGAAGUGCAGAAAAAUGGUUAAAGCUCCUUUUUAACCAAUAUAUUUUAAACAACGGCCGUGCAUCCAAUAACUACCCGAGAGGAGGUCAGCCACUCACCCGACGCCGCCUGAGCGUGGUCGUCCUGCUCCGAGCACCACCAGCACCCCCAACCCCAGUGCUCCGCUCCUGGGUGCGCGAAUCAAUUACAGCGACGUCGUAACGCGAAAAUCGAUUUCGGUUGCGGGCGCAGGCUGAAUCACCAGAAAUUAUGUCCCACUGCGAUGUGGACACGGAAGUAGAGAUGCCAUCGCCCAGCCGGAUGAAGGACGCUGCCGUCCUCCGGCAGGUGCGCACAUCCUGGAGCAGCGUGCUCCUCCUGGCCGCAGUGACCCUGAGCGUCCUCGCCUCCGGAUGCCAUGCCACGGACACGGACAUCGCUCUGGACGCGAAGGCCACGCUGAACCACCGCAUCCAGAGCCUGGAUCUGCUCGUCUUCGUGUUCCUGCUGGCGCUCACGGUCCUCACCAUAUGGCUGUUUAAGCACCAUCGCGUCUCCUGGCUCCACGAGACCGGACUGGCCGUCAUAUACGGCUUGAUUGUUGGAGCCAUUAUACGGUAUGCGGGCACCUCCGCCACCCUUGUCCACAUGCAGGUGGAGCCCCAAGGUGUUCCGACGUACACCGAUAAGUUGCCGCCCGAUACGCUCUGGUUUAAGUACCCGGUUAACCAAACAAAUGGAACCAAACUGCCGGAGGGAAUCAAGACAUACGCCUACGUGUUUCGGGGGCAGGUCCACGAUGUAGAUGAGAACGAAAUCGAUCUUAAGGCCACCUUUGAUCCGGAGGUGUUCUUCAACAUUAUACUACCCCCAAUCAUCUUUUACGCGGGUUACAGUUUAAAGAAGAAAUACUUCUUUCGCAACCUGGGUGCCAUCCUGACGUUUGCCAUUGUGGGCACCACCUUGUCGGCCUUCCUGAUCGGCGGCUUCAUGUACGGUUGUGUGAAACUGAUGCCAAAGUACUUGAGCAGCAGUUUCACAUUCCUGGACACUCUAUACUUUGGAGCCCUGAUAUCGCCCACAGAUCCGCUCACCAUUCUAGCCAUAUUCAACGAUCUGCGAGUCGACGUAAACCUAUAUGCGCUAGUCUUGGGCGAAUCUGUGCUCAACGAUGCCGUGGCCAUUGUCCUAAGCGGAGCCAUUCAAAACUAUGGAGAACAUUACUCGAACACGGGGGAAUUCGAAACCUCAGCUUUCCUGCGCUCGUUAAGCGACUUCUUUUCCAUCUUUCUGCUGUCCCUGAUGAUUGGCGCCGCCAUGGGCUGCUUGACAGCAUUGAUAUCCAAAUUUACGCGGGUUCGUGAUUUUCCCCUACUAGAGUCGGCGCUGUUCGUGCUGAUGAGCUACAGCACCUUCCUGCUGGCGGAGGCCACAGAACUUACUGGCGUGGUGGCCGUGCUUUUCUGCGGCAUCUGCCAGGCCCACUACACCUACAACAAUCUGUCGGAGGACUCGCGCCAAAGGACCAAACAGAUCUUCGAGCUGCUGAACUUUUUGGCCGAGAAUUUUAUAUUUUCCUAUAUUGGCGUUUCCAUGUUUACCUUCCCCAAACAUCAUUUCGACGCGGGAUUCAUCAUAACAGCUUUCAUCUGCGCCGCCAUAGGUCGUGCCGUGAAUGUGUAUCCCUUAUCCUGGCUGCUGAACAUCAAGAGAAAACCCAAAAUCUCCUCAAACUUUCAGCACAUGCUCUUCUUUGCAGGACUUCGUGGAGCCAUGUCCUUUGCCUUGGCCAUCCGAAAUACCGUGUCGGAUGCGCGACAGACUAUGCUGACCGCCACAUCGCUGAUUGUCAUCUUUACGGUCGUAAUCCAGGGUGGGGCAGCCAAUUUUCUGCUAAAUUGGUUGAAAAUACCUGUUGGCGUUGACGAUGAGACUGAACAAUUAAAUAAUUACCAAGUGCACAGUUCCGAUGGUUAUUUACAGGAUGUGGAGAACGGCGGCGGAGGACGCGGCAAGUUGCGUUUGUCCGGCGGCACGGAGUCCAAUUUGGACACGCCGGUGGAUGGGUCGAAUGGCAGCUUGGGCGGCACAAGCGGCGGACGACGUCGCAACAGCCAUGAGAAGGCCAUUCUGGCCAGGAUCUGGGGGAACUUUGAUACCAAAUACAUGAAGCCCUUGCUGACGCACUCCAGACCCACUCUUCUAGAGACCUUGCCCGUUUGCUGCAAUCCCAUUGCCCGGCUGCUCACCACCACGCAGCAGCUCACCCAGGAUGGAAGCGAGUUCAGGCGCGUGGACUCGGACUCGGAUAUCUGCAUAGACAACGAUACCGGGAAUGGUCCUAGCCAGGAUGCGGGACCCGGAGCGGGGCCGGGCGUGGGGCGGCGGAACUCCCUGAGUCGCGUAAGUAUCAAGUACACCGGCGAUAACCACCAUCUACUUGCUAGCUACCGAAAUAUUGAAUAACCGAAUGAGCGAGCACCCCAACCACCAAAGACUUAUCCUAGGCGUAGCAAGCUGGCCACUAACACACGAAACGAAAAACCUCAACUAAACCAAAAAAGUUACUUAGACACUUUGACAAAGUAGACAGAUUGUUACUUAAAUUGGCCAUAAGAUUAACAACCAUGAAAAUGUGAUUUUUGUUUAACGAUGUUUUGUUUUUGUAUAAUUUAAAUGUUUAUUUUGAGGUGCGAGAGGCAAAGGAUCUAUUAUGUGCACCUACUUUCAAUAUUGUUGAUUAAAUGUUUAAGUUGAUGCGGCGGCAAGCGAUUUCUAGUCUACGAUUGUAACACCUAUGUAAUAUUUAUUUGACUGUUAACUACUACUAAAUGCAUGCUUACCAAAUAUACCUAUAUAACCGAAAAUGUAACACUCUCUCAGCGAUGAUAUUAAUUUAUUUAUUCAUUUCUGCGGCAUCUUUCUUUCUUUCUGUCUUUCCUUCGACCAAUCAAUCAUCUAACAAACUCAUGCGGACUAAUUAUCUAUUUAACUUUGGUUGCUCCAACAAAAACAACAAUAACAACUACUCCAACAAUCAACUGCAUUCAUCCCGAAAAAACCUUAAAUUCUAACAAUUGGCAAUGCCCAAACGAAAGUCUGUCCAAUUGGGCGAGGCCAAUCAUCAGUUUGCCAAUGAACUCAGCCUGGUUACUAAUAAUUUCAUGUAAUCGUUUCUGGUUGGGAAGUCAAGAGAUCGAGCCAGCUAAUUAUGUGCUUUAUUUACUUACUAUUUAUAAUGUUUUCGUUUGUUUUUGUCUACUUUUCCUUGGUAAAACAAUGUUGUAAACGAAGCACAGACGGAGACCACCCAGACAUGAUAAACUAAGUCCAGAGUCAGUUAGUCCAGUCGUUGAAUUGAUUAACAGAUUAACAAACGCUUCUUAAGGCACAGCAGUUCGUUUGUAUUGUUCACUUUUAAUUUGUGUAUUUUUCCUCAUAAUCUGAUUUCUUAGAUUCUAACACGCGACUAACCAUGUUAGAGGCGAGCAUCGAAAUGUUUACAUAUAAGUUAUAGUUAUUUUAUUUUCCUUUGUUAUUUAUUUAAUUGGUCUCAUGUAAAAUGGAAAGUGUGAAAUCUGUACAAAUUAGGUUAUUACUCCUUAGUUUUCCCUCGUUUACGAUAUGUGAUUCGGAACUCUAGUUAUAAACAUAAAUUACAAUUAUCGAGUUUAUCAAUUAAUUUAAAAACCGUAAGGGCACUUAAGCUGAAAAGGCUGCCUAUCAUCGAGCUGACACACACGAAUACCACACCUUAUGACACCAUAAAAUAUUACAUGCAUAUAAGCCUCUUUUAUUAUACUUUUGUCAACCCCUUGCGUCCUUGCAGUUAAACUAGUUUGGCCAAAACCUAUAAAUAUCUGCAUAUAAAUAAGCCUAAAUAAAUAAUGGCCGAGUGAAAAUUUAUACGAUUACUUAUAGACAUAUUUCCUCUCUCUUAUUUAUCCGACAUCGCAAAAUUGCAAACAAUUUUAUAAUAUUCGCCUGAAACCACAAACAAUUUGUAUUCAGAUGGAGAUUCUGGAGCAUGUUCAAAGUCCGGUGUCGACGAGAAUCAGACUCUUAGGAUUUUAUGGAAAAAAGUUAUAAAACAAAGACAGAAGUAAUCGGAUUUAAUUUUUGAUGUAUUUUACACAGUAUGAACUUAUAGCUUUUUCGUUUUAAGCAAGUUAGUGUAAAUAUAUCGUUUUCAAUACUGAACUAAAUAUAUGUAUAAUCGGUUUAUUUUUAAAGUUUAAAUGUCGAUCGAUUUGGCGAUCUAUUAAUUUUUCCCCAUAUUAACUAAGAUACAGUUUCUUACUACAUACAUACGCUGUAUUUAAAUUAAAGCGAAGCUCUCUGAAGAUAUUAAUUGUUGUGCUGUUAAUUUUUAAGUCUAAACAAGAAUAAAAAAAAAUAAAAAGCAAAA